ensembl:lncRNA
GCUAUGCUUCUUGAGGGCAAGUCUGUAUUUGAUUCAUCUUUCUACUCACAAGCCUUGCACAGUCCGAGGCACCAGGUACGCCCUCCAUAAAAAUUGCCUUCAAUAGAUGAGUGGCAGCUCUGUGAGAUGAGUCACUGCUGGUUUCCUUGCUUGGAUUAGGUCAGCCCUGCAGCCCAGCUGGAGCUCUUCAAUUACUCAAGAUAGAGGACACCAGAUCCUCAUCCUGGGCGCAUCAAUUCUAAACCAGUAAGAACAGAAUAGCCCACUCCUACCUCAGGGAGCCGAGCCGUCUUGGACGCAGAGAAGGAGCCCGGAUUUGCAACCCAGCUGCAGAGCUUCAGAUAAGGGGUUUUUGGACGCUACAUUCUCCUGACCCUAUAGCUUCCAAGGAAACAGGACUCAGUCUGCCCCUCGGCCCAGGCUGGUGUUAAUUCCUUUAUACACAGCGCUAUUUGCUUUGAGGGCAUUAAAACACAGCUUCAUUUGAAUUUUAGCUGAAUCCCACCAUUUCCCCAAGUCCUGUAACAAGUUGGUGGCUUCCUGCGUCCGAUGAAGCACUCCCUGGUCCCCAGAGCACUGUCCCAUGCUGUAACAAGUCAGUACACCUCCUCGUGGACCACACAUUUGUCCCUGGGGAUCUCUGCCUUCCCUAUUUGAGACAUUCCAGGGAAGUGAUCCCUGGACGCAUGUGGGAAUAUUGUGGAAGCCGGACCACAGGCCUGCUUCUUGUGAAGGGCUCUCCGACUCGGUUGACGGCAACUCUGUUCUUCCAGUUGAAAAUCCUGGAGACCUCCUUGAUCCUGUCUCUCCUGCCUUGCAUCUAAAGGAGUAAAGCUUAUUGGCUCUUCCUUCAAAACCCCAUCACCUGCCACCUUCACCUGUCCAUCCUGAUCCCUUCAACUAUCACCACUUGCCUUGGUUAUUGAAACUGCAUCCUAACUGGGCUUCCUGCCUCCCCCAUCAAUCCCCUACAGCAGCAGGCUCCACUCAGCAGCCAGGAAAACCCUUUUCAUAUGCAAAUCUGGCUGCCCCCUCCUCCCCUCAAAACCCUCCAAUGAUGCCCACCUCACCAAAAUCUUUACAAUAGCUUACGAGGUCCUAUACAAUCUGGCUCUGGUUACCUCUCUGAAUUUCUCUCGCACCCUCUCCUUUUCAUUACUCCACAGCAGCCACACUAGCUUCUUGGCUAUUCCUUGAAAUACCAACGGUGCUUUCACCUCAGGGCCUUUGCAUGUGCUGUUUCUUCUGCCUGGAGCACUCUUCCUCUACAUUUCCACAUGGCUCACUCCCUCACUUCCUUCAAGUCUACACCUGAGUGUCACUUUCUUGGAGAUGCCCCCUGACCACUGCAUGUGUGCACAUGCACAAACACACAUGCAUGCACAUAAAUGGCAAAUAUUUCCAAUCCCACCACACCCUGUCUCCCACACUCAAAUUUAUUUCCCCCAUAUCAUCUGUUGCCAUUGGACUCACAUCAUAUUGACCCUUCUGUGUGUUUAUUUCCUAGCCCUGCCACUAGAAAAUACGUUCCGCUUGAUCAGGAGCUUACUUUAGUCUGUUCACUACUGUGUCUCCAGCAUGUAGAACAAAGUUGGCAUAAAGUAGAUAUUCAAUUAAUAUUUUUAAUUGAACUGUAUGAAUGAAAUCAAAGGUUUUAAUAGGUUUUAAUUAAUUCCCAUGCACUCCUGAGCAGUAGAGACAAUAUCAUUUUUCCUUUUGAUCACAUGAAAC